UAUAUAUAUAUAUAUAUAUAUAUAUAUAUAUAUAUAUAUAUAUAUAUAUAUAUAUAUAUAUAUAUAUAUAUAUAUAUCUUUUGUGUGUGCUGAAGCGCGUGAAAGAGCGUGUCCCUGCGCGCGCUCGUGGCGCUGACUGUGCUACGGCCACGGUGUAGCUACGGCGACAUUU